rnacentral:rRNA from 1 species
AACGAACGCUGGCGGCAGGCUUAACACAUGCAAGUCGAACGCCCCGCAAGGGGAGUGGCAGACGGGUGAGUAACGCGUGGGAAUCUACCCAGUUCUACGGAACAACUGAGGGAAACUUCAGCUAAUACCGUAUACGCCCUACGGGGGAAAGAUUUGUCGGAAUUGGAUGAGCCCGCGUUGGAUUAGCUAGUUGGUGGGGUAAUGGCCUACCAAGGCGACGAUCCAUAGCUGGUCUGAGAGGAUGAUCAGCCACACUGGGACUGAGACACGGCCCAGACUCCUACGGGAGGCAGCAGUGGGGAAUAUUGGACAAUGGGCGCAAGCCUGAUCCAGCCAUGCCGCGUGAGUGAUGAAGGCCUUAGGGUUGUAAAGCUCUUUCAGUGGGGACGAUAAUGACGGUACCCACAGAAGAAGCCCCGGCUAACUUCGUGCCAGCCGCCGCGGUAAUAC